UAGGCUGCUGAAGUCGAGCGGUAGAGAAYUGUUCUUGGGUGAAGGGCGGACGUGAUAUGCUUGGAACAUGCCUUUAGGUGGGGGACAACAUUGGAAACGACUGCUAAUACGUGAUGUCUACGACCAAGGGGGGACCUUCGGGCCUCACCCUAAAAUUGCCCGGGGAUUAGUUUGUGAGGUAAUGGUCAMCGACGAUCCUAGCUGUUGAGAGGAUGAUCGCACCUGGAACKGAACACGCAACUCCUAGGGGCCWGUGGGGAAUAUUGCACAAUGGGCGAAAGCCUGAUGCACCUGCCRUGGUAAGAAGCCUUCGGGUUGUAAAGCACUUUCAUCAGGAGGAAAGGUUACGUUUUAAUAGAACGUAGCUGUGACGUUACUGACAGAAGAAGCACCGGUAACUCCUGCCCACCGCGGUAAUACGGAGGGGCAGCGUUAUCGGAAUUCUGGGCUAAAGCGACGCAGCGGUUGAUUAACGAGAUGUGAAAGCCCCGGGCUCAACCUGGGAACUGCAUUUCAACUGGUCAACUAGAGUGUGAUAGAGGGUGGUAGAAUUUCAGGUGUAGCGGUGAAAUGCGUAGAGAUCUGAAGGAAUACCGAUGGCGAAGGCAGCCACCUGGGUCAACACUGACGCUCAUGUACAAGCGUGGGAGCAAACAGAUUAGAUACCUGGUAUYCACGCCGUAACGAUGUCACUAGCUCGGUCCUCGGAACUGUUUUUCAAAGCUAACGCAUUAAGUAGACCGCCUGGGGAGUACGGCCGCAAGGUUAAAACUCAUGAAUUGACGGGGGCCCGCCAAGCGGUGGACAUGUGUUUAAUUCGAUGCAACCAAGAACUUACUACACUUGACAUCCGAGAAAUCGCUAGAGAUAGCUUUGUGCCUUCGGAACUCUGAGACAGUGCUGAUGGCUGUCGUCAGCUCGUGUUGUAGAUGGUUAAGUCCGAGAGCGCCCCUUCCUCCAGCGAGUGAACUAAGACCCGGUGAUAAAGAAGGGGUCACAUGCACUGUGA
rnacentral:rRNA from 1 species